rnacentral:rRNA from 1 species
CACGUAGGCCGUUUGGUAAGUCAGAGGUGAAAGCCCGUAGCUCAACUACGGAAUUGCCUUUGAUACUGCUGGACUUGAGUUCGGGAGAGGGUAGUGGAAUUCCAGGUGUAGGAGUGAAAUCCGUAGAUAUCUGGAGGAACAUCAGUGGCGAAGGCGACUACCUGGACCGAUACUGACGCUGAGGUGCGAAAGCGUGGGGAGCAAACA